AAUAUCCUGCAAUUUACAGCCUGCUUCCGGCGAUGAUUUAGGAUCAAAGUUACACACUUAUAUACUAGAUUAAUGGAAAUAAGUAACGCGCACUCAAACUUCAACGUAAUAGUGUGAAAAUGAAAUAAUUUGGAUACAAGGUGAGGUAUAAAAAUGUUAAAAAUUCAUGUAAUUUUUCUAAAAUAUUUUGAGUUUGAAAUGUUAAUGUAUUACACUACGUUUUAUUUUGUGUCGUGCAACUGUGAAUUAACGUCAUUCAAAUCUGGUUAGUAUAAAAAGCAAAUCAACUUAAUUUUUGUUGAACAAGUAUUAGGACAUUUUUAUUUAUUCAGUAUUCUAGAAUUUCCCAGUAAUAUGAGUCCAUUGUACCACUUAUAAUUAAUACAUGUAUUCUGUAGAGACGUUUGACAAUACUGUACAUUUAUAUUAUGUUGUCUAGGUUUUCAAAAUCAGAAACGAAGCAAAAAGAACUUUUCUGAGGCUUAAGUGUUGAAGUUCAGUUGUGAUUGUUAUGCCCUAGGAUAUGCUAAUGGAUUGAUGGAGAAGAACGUCUGGAUUCAGAUACAGAAAGUAACAUGGUAGACAUGUACAUAUUUAAAGCAAGUGGAAACCUUUAAAAGAACGAACAACUAAACUAAGAAUUAUGUGCACAUCAUAGGAUAUUGACGUCAAUGGAAAUAAAAUGUUUGUACUAGUUGAUCGCAGGAAUAUUGAUGAAAAAGUUAAAAG